CUCCCAAAAGGGAAGAAAUUUUGAUGGACCAACCCCCCCUUGAGUAAAAAAGGUUUUCGGAUCGUAAAACUCUGUUGUUGGAAAAGAAUGUAUCUGAUAGUAACUGAUCAGGUAGUGACGGUAUCCAACCAGAAAGCCACGGCUAACUACGUGCCAGCAGCCGCGGUAAUACGUAGGUGGCCAGCGUUGUCCGGAUUUAUUGGGCGUAAAGCGAGCGCAGGCGGUUUCUUAAGUCUGAUGUGAAAGCCUUCGGCUCAACCGAAGAAGUGCAUCGGAAACUGGGAAACUUGAGUGCAGAAGAGGACAGUGGAACUCCAUGUGUAGCGGUGAAAUGCGUAGAUAUAUGGAAGAACACCAGUGGCGAAGGCGGCUGUCUGGUCUGUAACUGACGCUGAGGCUCGAAAGCAUGGGUAGCAAACAGGAUUAGAUACCCUGGUAGUCCAUGCCGUAAACGAUGAGUGCUAGGUGUUGGAGGGUUUCCGCCCUUCAGUGCCGCAGCUAACGCAUUAAGCACUCCGCCUGGGGAGUACGACCGCAAGGUUGAAACUCAAAGGAAUUGACGGGGGCCCGCACAAGCGGUGGAGCAUGUGGUUUAAUUCGAAGCAACGCGAAGAACCUUACCAGGUCUUGACAUCCUUUGACCACUCUAGAGAUAGAGCUUUCCCUUCGGGGACAAAGUGACAGGUGGUGCAUGGUUGUCGUCAGCUCGUGUCGUGAGAUGUUGGGUUAAGUCCCGCAACGAGCGCAACCCUUAUUACUAGUUGCCAGCAUUUAGUUGGGCACUCUAGUGAGACUGCCGG
rnacentral:rRNA from 2 species